rnacentral:rRNA from 1 species
CACGUAGGGCGCAAGCGUUGUCCGGAAUUAUUGGGCGUAAAGCGCACGUAGGCGGUCUGUUAUGUCGGAUGUGAAAGCCCUUGGCUCAACUGAGGAAGUGCAUCCGAAACUGGCAGGCUAGAGUACGUAAGAGGGUCGCGGAAUUCCCGGUGUAGAGGUGAAAUUCGUAGAUAUCGGGAGGAACACCGGUGGCGAAGGCGGCGACCUGGGACGAUACUGACGCUGAGGUGCGAAAGCGUGGGGAGCAAACAGG